AUGAGGAGUGGAUACUGAACGCAACACUACACCAUAGCUCUAUGACAGGACUGGACACAGAACACCCCUACACCACAGCUCCAUCUACAGAAUAUGACAGCCAGCGACCUCCAGCUGAACUCUGAUUCACAGAGGUCGACGCCUCCCUCAAGAAGCAGGGGCCCCUUCAACAGCAUCAAGGACAAUGACCCAACACACCUCCAGGCUGUGCAAGGGCUAUUUGACCA